UGCGGGAUGGUGUAAUGGUAGCACGCCACGCUCUGGACGUGGAAAUUGGGGUUCAAAUCCCUGUCCCGCAGCCA
rnacentral:tRNA from 5 species